AAAAGCAUAAGAUUUCCAGAAUAAAUGAGUAUUACAGAUACUACAAUAAUGUGCAUUCUACACUCAUACAUGAGCUUAGCUAUAACGCUGCAUAAUGCUCAGAGCUAGGAUACACAAUUUACAAUUCUCACACUAACAAAAGAAAAAUGUAAAUGUCGUAAAAUAUCACAAUCUAGGUUGUUAUACCACCUAGCAUCAAGAUAAUAUAGUGAUGUUAAUUACAUUUACUGCCACUGUUAAUGCUAAAAUCCGCGGUGCCCAACUGCUAGCAACCAUGGCUAAGGGAUAAUCAGUUAUCAUCUUCAUCAUUAUCAUCAGUAUCUACAAAGCUAAAAUUCAUUCGUCCAUCGAGCUUGAUAAGCAAUGUUCCUCUAUUCUCCUCGGUCCAUUCAAUAUGUUCUUUCUUCAAAAGUUCAACUACCGAGUUUUUCAGCUUCGACUUCCCAACGCCAUGUGCCCCACAUCCCGUGAUAACUCUGAACAACCUAACAGAGCGUACAAAUGCUCCAAACAGAAGGUGCAGUUUCAAAAGCCUCAUUGCUGGUUUGACAUGUUGGCCAUGCAAGUCAAUAGUUAUCAUAUUUUCUAUGUUCUUGUUUCUAGCUGCAAAUAUAUCCUGGCUAGCCUUUGCAUCAGCUUCUCGAGCCUUUCUGUUGUGUAGCCUACCCUGAUCCGCAAGAUAAGCAGCAUGUCCCUUUUGGCCAUUUGAAAAAGCUGUUGCAGCCUUCUGAUAAUGGGAUCUCAUUGACUCCCAAUGUUGCUUUGCAGUUUCCCUGAACAGCUGAUACUCAGCUCCCUCAGCAUGAGUAUGCUGCAGUGGUGGAAUAUCAUUAGGACAAGAUCCAGAUCUUUGUCCCAAAGAUGUCAUUUUCUUUACUACAUUCUUCCAGUUCAUAGUAGUUGGUUCAUGUUCAACACUCUUGGGGGUUGGCAUACAGAACAAAGAUUCCAGAAUAUCUUGAGGAAGUACUGAUCCAGAAUUUCCUACUGUAGAUGAUGAAG
rnacentral:misc_RNA from 1 species